UUAUCUUCUUCACGAUAUAUUCACUCACAUUCACUGAUAAGAAGGAGGAGGAGAUACUCACCCUUAACACAACUUCACACCCUCUCAAUUAUCUCAAUUUAUUACACAGAAAGAACACUACACAUGGAAAAUGAGGUAGAUGAGAGAGAGAGUAGUAGAGAGGAGAGACGCUAAAAAAGAGGAAAAGAGAUCUAGGUUUUUGUCUUUUUCACCUUCAUCCACGCCCACACACGAAAAACACACGCACACAACGCACAUAGUGAAAACAACAAAAAAAUGAGCAAAAAUGGCGUGAGAAUCGAAGGAGAAAACAGAAUUUGGGUUUCUGGUUAGUGUUCCGGCGACCCCUUUACCGUAAUCUCAUCGUUCUCUUUUGAUUUAUGGGUUCAUCUGUUUUUGCGUUUCAUCGUCGAAACCGGGUUUCCAACUUGUCGAAUUGCUUAGAUUUGGUUUUAUUUUUAUUCUUGGGUUUUUAAGAUUCGAAUUUCAUCUUUAUAUUUGGGGAUUUUCUGUUGCCUUUCAGAGUUGUUGAUUCAGAUGUUUAUAAUUAAGUUUGGUUUCCCGAAUUAAAAUUUGUUCGGAUUGGGAUUGGCGAUAUCGAGUUGGAUCUUUGUCAUUGUUGAAGCUCGAAGUCGAGGUUCUCGAGCGUGGUUCUAUCUCCGAUAUAUUGAAAGUGACACUUGUGGUCCAAUUCUAUCUUCUCUUUAAUUUUUUAUGUGAAUAUGAAUGAUUUGUUAUUUGAUAUGUUUGAAUCUUUGUUUUUGUGUUGGUUGAUGUUGGAUUUGAAUGUGGAAACUUGGAUUAGUAAUCGAAGAAUUGAUUAAUUAUUUUGAGAAUGAAUGUGGGAAGGGAUUGAUCUUGAUAAAAGUAAAUUUGGAUAAUUUUUAAUUCAUUGAUGAUGUUGAAAUGUGAUAAGAAUUAUGAUAGGUCGAGUUGGAUAGGAAAAUAGUAGGUUCGGAUAAGAAAAUUUAGAACUUUUGGAUUGUUGAAUGUUGAAAAUGUUUGUUGAAUGGUUUUAUUUUAUGAAUUUAGAUCGAUUGUAUUCAUUCGUCGUGGAAAGCCCCGAGGUCACAUUUGUAUUCAUUCACCGGGAAAUGCCCCGACGUAUCAUGUACUCGGAGGAUGCCUGUGAUGAAGGCCCGAAGCAUCGAGUAAGGCAUUGGAGCGUAGUUUAGGAUUAGUGUAGGUUAGAGUAGGUUUACUUUUCAGUACCUUUUUCAUUUUGGGUUGUAAUAACUGGACCGAACACUAUAUUUUUGGACUAGUUUUGUUUGUUUGAUUGAUCGUUUUCGUGUUUUUUUUGUGUGGUUUGUACAUUUUGUAGUAUCAAAUUAGCCGAUAUGCUCCACCAAGCGACUUUGGUCGAACCACGAAAUCGAGAGGUGCCUAACACCUUCCCCUCGAUCAACAGACUUUCUUAACCGAAAUAUCUAUUCGCAGAUCAGUAUAAAAGAUUCAAAAUCAUUUUUUUUUUACAAAGGAUUUCCAAAGGUUACUUGGCACACCCGAUUUAUGCCAAGUGGCAACUCUGAGUUUUUAUAUAGAAAUAAUCCUUUUUGAAACAAAUCUUCAUUUUUGUCGCUUUAAUAAUAAAACCCUUUCAAACCUUAAAAACUCAAACAAAUCUUUUUGGUUAAAAAAAGGGUGUGACAGCCUUGGCGACUCUGUUGGGGAUUUUUCAAAAUUCGAGCUUAUUUUGGGGUUGUAUCGGCUUAGUUUAACACUAUAGGUGUAUAGACAUUUUGUUUGUGUUAUUUUGUGUUGUUGUUUACCAUUGUUGAGUGUCUACGUGCUCUUUGUUUACAGUUUUUACUUUAUGUGUUACCGCUUUAUAUCUGGCAUCAUGUGCAUAACCCGAGUCUUUCUUUCUGCAACAAGUUAGUACACGUGUGUACACAAUCUAUAGUUGAUUCACCCUUAUUUUAGGAGGGGGCCGUUGGAUUGUAUGGAGUAGGUGGAUAGCUAAAGCAAGCCACUAUUGACCAUACGCUCCCCCGAACACCCUUGUUAGUGGACCCCAACAUAGGCCAGCCUUUACGUCAUGCUUAUCUGCAUCAUAUUGAGACCUAGCGGGACCCACGUGGCUCUUUUCAGGAGACUUACCUCUAAAGCAUCCUUACGUGCUAAAUGUUGCAUCUUUGAGGGUAACAUGGUCAUUUGACGGACUCAUUCGGGGAAGACGUGUGUUAGAAGUAAAGUGCUUAGGCAAAGAAUGUUGAGAAAAAAAUAGAAAAAAAUAUAAGUGAAAAGUGAGUCGAAAAGAAAAAAAACCAGAGAGUUUUAUAGUUUUUAGAGUUCUUUAUAGCUUUUGUUUUCCACGAUUCAAAAAUUCAAAAAAAAAAAGAUUUUUUUUUACUUUUGCACUCAUUUUUCAAAAAAAAAAAAUCAUCAAAAAGAUUUUUCUUUUAUUUCAUUUAGCAAGCAUUCACAAUUCGAAAACUCCAAAACGAUUUUUUUAAGAGCUUUUUAUAAAAGAAAAAUUCAAAAAAAAGGUGGUAGAAGUUUUGUAUAUUUCAUAUAACAAAAAUACCAAAAAGAUUUUUUUUCAUAGCUGUUGAUGUCAUUUUUUAUGUGAAGUGUCAAAUUGAAAACUCAAAGAAAAGGUUUUGUUAUGUUGUUCAUCGUGUGUCUUUGGUCUUGUCUCAAGUCAGGGUGCAAUUUAUUAUUUAAUCAUUAAUUGUCCAAUCUGACAGUGUCUGUCCCCUGGAUAAAAGAGACUCAAACAGUGUUUGUCCCCUGGAUAAAAGAAAAUUUUAAGAAAUGGCACCUACUUAUGGGUUGUAACACCUAAUUUUGUCCCAUAAAAAUAUUUCUUAUUCUGAUAUCACACAAUUUAACCCCAUUCUUAUAAUUUUUCCCUAAGAAAAUAAAUAACCACCCCAUUUUUUACUUAUUUAUUUAUUUUUUUUGUUUUGUUUUUGUCCCAAAAUAACAAGUCAUAAAAAACUUUGUCUCAUUCUAGCAUUCCAACAACCCACCCAAUCAAAAAUGGACACCUAACCCCUACCCCUCCAAUUGAAAAAAAACAACACCUCACCACUCACCAAACCACCUCACCACCACCCCCUCCAUGUGACCCCCUACCUUUUUUUUGUUUACACGUUUUCUUGACAUCUCCAUAUAUAGAAAAAGACAAUACACAAAAGAGGAGGAUUCAUUGGGGUCCACAGAAUAACAAAAAACAUAAAAUAGCACCAUCACCUCACAAUUUCAUAGGCACAAAAUUAUCUUCUUCACGAUAUAUUCACUCACAUUCACUGAUAAGGAGGAGGAGAUACUCACCCUUAACACAACUUCACACCCUCUCAAUUAUCUCUAUUGAUUACACAGAAAGAACACUACACAUGGAAAAUGAGGUAGAUUGAGAGAGAGAGUAGUAGAGAGGAGAGACGCUAAAAAAGAGGAAAAGAGAUCUAGGUUUUUGUCUUUUUCACCUUCAUCCACGCCCACACACGAAAAACACACGCACACAACGCACAUAGUGAAAACAACAAAAAAAUGAGCAAAAAUGGC
rnacentral:lncRNA from 1 species